UUUUUAUUUUUUUAGAUAAUUAAAGCUGAGAAAGGAAAAGGGUGGAGGGACUGCAGAAGAAGCUGCUGCCGGGAAUGGAGUCGUCGCCGUCAUCGUCGCUGAACGUGGGAAAUAGGGUAAUUGCAAGGUCGAAUUUAUUUUCUCCGAAAAGUGGACGAGGAAUUGUGAGAGUCUCUGGUCGGUCAGUUCAUGAGUUUGUGAAAUUGAGAACCGAAUAUUUACCUUCGAGGUUGCGUGUGUCCACUGCAAAUGGCGGUGGCUUCAGGACGGAGGGACGAAAAGGCGUCGUUGGCGAAGGUGAUGGUGUCAUUAUUGUUGACCAUGGUUCGCGUCGCAAGGAGUCCAACCUUAUGUUGAAUGAGUUUGUGGCUAUGUUCAAAGAAAAAACUCAAUAUCCGAUCGUCGAGCCAGCUCAUAUGGAACUGGCUGAGCCAUCCAUCAAGGAUGCUUUCACUGCAUGCAUUCAACAAGGAGCACGCCGAGUUAUUGUGAGCCCUUUUUUCUUGUUUCCUGGAAGACAUUGGCACCAGGAUAUUCCUUCUCUAACUGCCGAAGCUGCAAAAGAGCAUCCAGGGGCGUCAUAUGUGAUUACUGCCCCUCUUGGUCUGCACGAACUGCUCGUGGAUGUGGUGAACGACAGAAUUAGUUAUUGCUUGAGCCAUGUUGCUGGCGAGGAGGAUGAGUGUUCUGUAUGCGCUGGAACAGGAAAAUGUCGAGUCUAUAGACACAGAAUGAUGAUGUUUUGAAUAGAACAGAGAGAUUCCAAGGAUGAUCAUGUGGAGUGAUUGUUCUUGUCGUCGACUAUCGUCUGGUCCAUCUUGCCAACUGUCGGGCGGGCAAUCGCAGCACACGUGGUCCCAUACACAGUUUGAGUCACACGUACACACACUCGCAAGAUGCUGUGUCGCAUCGCAAUUUAUUGUUACGGCUUCGACUGAAAGGUUGACAAUGUUUCAGAGAUGCAGCCAGAAAGUUACUAAACACAACAUGUUGGAGAUACAAUGCAAAUGGGUGAAGUAGGAUUUCCGGAAGAAACGAGGGUCUUCAGUCUUGUACUAGCACGUUAAUGUUAUCUACUUCAUUCGGAGAUGGUCGUCGGAGCUCUGAUUGCUGAAAGACUCGGUGGAAGUGUAUGAUGCUUGAGCUUUUGUUGCCUGACCUGACAUCAAACUGUUUAGGCUGUAGGAGGAUCUAGUGGAGCAGGCUGAGAUGGAGCUGGUGUUCAAAAAUGGAGGCUGGUUUGGCUCUGGGAUUUUGCGGUUUUCGUCUGUAAGCAUCUGCACAACAUCCACCAUUGAUGGCCUCUGUGUGGCAGAUGCCUGUGCGCAUAGCAGCCCGAUUGUCAGGACUUUGGAUGCUUCUUUGGCUGGAUAGGCAUCUGCUAAACAUGGAUCUACUGAUUCUGUUAAUUUGUUAGUCUUGUAAAGCUUCCAUACCUGGUUCCAUAAAGACUGGAUGAAUAUACAGUUUAUGUAUAGUGGGGAAUGUAUACAAAUGGUGUGAAAAUGGUUAAUUACU